rnacentral:rRNA from 1 species
AGUGAACGCUGGCGGUAGGCCUAACACAUGCAAGUCGAACGGCAGCACAGUAAGAGCUUGCUCUUACGGGUGGCGAGUGGCGGACGGGUGAGGAAUACAUCGGAAUCUACUUUUUCGUGGGGGAUAACGUAGGGAAACUUACGCUAAUACCGCAUACGACCUACGGGUGAAAGCAGGGGAUCUUCGGACCUUGCGCGAUUGAAUGAGCCGAUGUCGGAUUAGCUAGUUGGCGGGGUAAAGGCCCACCAAGGCGACGAUCCGUAGCUGGGCUGAGAGGAUGAUCAGCCACACUGGAACUGAGACACGGUCCAGACUCCUACGGGAGGCAGCAGUGGGGAAUAUUGGACAAUGGGCGCAAGCCUGAUCCAGCCAUACCGCGUGGGUGAAGAAGGCCUUCGGGUUGUAAAGCCCUUUUGUUGGGAAAGAAAAGCAGCAGGUUAAUACCCCGCUGUUCUGACGGUACCCAAAGAAUAAGCACCGGCUAACUUCGUG